rnacentral:rRNA from 1 species
AAACUUGAGAGUUUGAUCAUGGCUCAGAACGUACGCUGGCGGCACGCCUAACACAUGCAAGUCGAACGAAGUAGCAAUACUUAGUGGCAGACGGGUGAGUAACAUGUAGGUAUCUGCCCUUUGGCCUGGAAUAACACGAGGAAACUUGUGCUAAUACCGGAUAAGUCUUUACGGAGAAAGCUUUAUGCACCAUUGGAUGAGCCUGCACUUGAUUAGUUUGUUGGUGGGGUAAUGGCCUACCAAGACUGUGAUCAAUAGCUGAUUUGAGAGGAUGAUCAGCCACAUUGGGACUGAGACACGGCCCAAACUCCUACGGGAGGCAGCAGUGGGGAAUCUUGCACAAUGGAGGAAACUCUGAUGCAGCGAUGCCGCGUGAGUGAAGAAGGCCCUUGGGUUGUAAAGCUCUUUCGUCGGGGAAGAAAAUGACUGUACCCGAAUAAGAAGGUCCGGCUAACUUCGUGCCAGCAGCCGCGGUAAUACGAAGGGACCUAGCGUAGUUCGGAAUUACUGGGCUUAAAGAGUUCGUAGGUGGUUGAAAAAGUUAGUGGUGAAAUCCCAGAGCUUAACUCUGGAACUGCCAUUAAAACUUUUCAGCUAGAGUAUGAUAGAGGAAAGCAGAAUUUCUAGUGUAGAGGUGAAAUUCGUAGAUAUUAGAAAGAAUACCAAUUGCGAAGGCAGCUUUCUGGAUCAUUACUGACACUGAGGAACGAAAGCAUGGGUAGCGAAGAGGAUUAGAUACCCUCGUAGUCCAUGCCGUAAACGAUGUGUGUUAGACGUUGGAAAUUUAUUUUCAGUGUCGCAGCGAAAGCGAUAAACACACCGCCUGGGGAGUACGACCGCAAGGUUAAAACUCAAAUGAAUUGACGGGGACCCGCACAAGUAGUGGAGCAUGUGGUUUAAUUCGAAGAUACGCGCAGAACCUUACCAACACUUGACAUGUUCGUCGCGACUCUAAGAGAUUAGAGUUUUCGGUUCGGCCGGACGAAACACAGGUGCUGCAUGGCUGUCGUCAGCUCGUGUCGUGAGAUGUUGGGUUAAGUCCCGCAACGAGCGCAACCCUCACUUUUAGUUGCCAUCAUUAAGUUGGGCACUCUGAAAGAACUGCCAGUGAUAAGCUGGAGGAAGGUGGGGAUGACGUCAAGUCCUCAUGGCCCUUACGUGUUGGGCUACACACGUGCUACAAUGGUAUCUACAACAGGAAGCAAGACUGCGAAGUUAAGCAAAUCCCUAAAAGAUACCUCAGUUCGGAUUGCACUCUGCAACUCGAGUGCAUGAAGCUGGAAUUACUAGUAAUCGUGGAUCAGCGUGCCACGGUGAAUGCGUUCCCGGGUCUUGUACACACCGCCCGUCACACCAUGGGAGUUGGUUCUACCUUAAGGCAAGGUUUCAAACCCUUGACCACGGUAUAGUCAGCGACUGGGGUGAAGUCGUAACAAGGUAGCCGUAGGGGAACCUGCGGCUGGAUUACCUCCUUU